rnacentral:rRNA from 1 species
UACGGGGGGAGCAAGCGUUGUUCGGAUUUACUGGGCGUAAAGGGCGCGUAGGCGGCCACCGCAAGUCGACUGUGAAAUCUCCGGGCUUAACCCGGAAAGGUCAGCCGAUACUGCGGGGCUAGAGUGCAGAAGGGGCAACUGGAAUUCUCGGUGUAGCGGUGAAAUGCGCAGAUAUCAGGAGGAACACCAAUUGCGAAGGCAGCUCGCUGGGACGUUACUGACGCUGAGACGCGAAAGCGUGGGGAGCAAACAGG